AGUGAACGCUGGCGGUAGGCCUAACACAUGCAAGUCGAACGGCAGCACAGUAAGAGCUUGCUCUUACGGGUGGCGAGUGGCGGACGGGUGCGGAAUACAUCGGAAUCUACUUUUUCGUGGGGGAUAACGUAGGGAAACUUACGCUAAUACCGCAUACGACCUACGGGUGAAAGCAGGGGAUCUUCGGAUCUUGCGCGAUUGAAUGAGCCGAUGUCGGAUUAGCUAGUUGGCGGGGUAAAGGCCCACCAAGGCGACGAUCCGUAGCUGGUCUGAGAGGAUGAUCAGCCACACUGGAACUGAGACACGGUCCAGACUCCUACGGGAGGCAGCAGUGGGGAAUAUUGGACAAUGGGCGCAAGCCUGAUCCAGCCAUACCGCGUGGGUGAAGAAGGCCUUCGGGUUGUAAAGCCCUUUUGUUGGGAAAGAAAAGCAGCAGGUUAAUACCCCGCUGUUCUGACGGUACCCAAAGAAUAAGCACCGGCUAACUUCGUG
rnacentral:rRNA from 1 species